AGCAGUAGCCGCGGUAAAACGUAGGGUGCGAGCGUUAAUCGGAAUUACUGGGCGUAAAGCGUGCGCAGGCGGUUAUAUAAGAUAGAUGUGAAAUCCCCGGGCUCAACCUGGGACCUGCAUUUGUGACUGUAUAGCUAGAGUACGGUAGAGGGGGAUGGAAUUCCGCGUGUAGCAGUGAAAUGCGUAGAGAUGUGGAGGAACACCGAUGGCGAAGGCAGCCCCCUGGGCCAAUACUGACGCUCAUGCACGAAAGCGUGGGGAGCAAACAGGAUUAGAUACCCGAGUAGUCCCUGUCUCUUAUAC
rnacentral:rRNA from 1 species